UAGUCAUAUGCUUGUCUCAAAGACUAAGCCAUGCAUGUCUAAGUAUAAACACAUUUACACUGUGAAACUGCGGACGGCUCAUUAAACCAGUGAUAGUUUACUUGAUCGUAUCUUCUUACUUGGAUAACCGUAGGAAAUCUAGAGCUAAUACAUGCAAAAAAUCCGGGCGUCUGACGUUCGGAUGAAUUUAUUAGAUUAAAAAACCAAUGCACCUUCACGGGUGCAGCCCUUGGUGAUUCACAAUAACUGAUCGAAGCGCAGGUUCAGCCGGCGCUGAUACAUACAAGUCUCUGCCCUAUCAACUUUCGAUGGUAGGAUAUUGGCCUACCAUGGUGGUAACGGGUAACAGGGAAUUAGGGUUCGAUCCUGGAGAGGCAGCCUGAGAAACGGCUACCACUUCCAAGGAAGGCAGCAGGCGCGCAACUUACCCAAUCCCGAUACGGGGAGGUAGUGACAAGAAAUACCUUUGAAGGCGUUACAAGCGUUCUUCAUUCGGAAUGAGUACAAUUUAAAAACCUUAACGAGGAACAAUUG
rnacentral:rRNA from 1 species